GACGAACCGUGCGAACGUUAUUCGGAAUCACUGGGCUUAAAGCGCGUGUAGGCGGGACGGCACGUCGGUCGCUGAAAUCCCCCGGCUCAACCGGGGAACGGGCGCCGAUACGACCGCCCUGGAGGGACGUAGGGGGACCUGGAACUUCCGGUGGAGCGGUGAAAUGCGUUGAUCUACAGAGGAACACCAAAAAAGGCGAAGGCAGCCAACUAUUCUAUUCCUGACAUUGAGGCAUGAAAGCGUGGGGAGCAAACCGG
rnacentral:rRNA from 1 species